AUGCGAGACUACAACUGCAGCCUACAGUGUGUGAGUGUAUGUGUUGCCACGACCUUCGUGAGCUGACAGAUCCCGUGGACCACAGCAACCCCGAUCGCAGCGGUAUGGGCGUCGGGAGCGGCCGUAGCCAGCUGAAAUGCGUCAAGCUACACGAGGAAUUCCAUCCCGUCUCAUGAGGUCUGCACUGAAAACUGCACUUAUAUUAUCUACAGUGACAAAAUGACUUGGACUGGAAGAUGUCAGGGAGCUAUUGAGAAAUAGAAUCUUACAACUGUCAGCGUACAGACAGUUUUCGUGCUGGGUCCACAAGAAUCAUCUUGGGAGAUCAGUGUGGCGCGUGGUUCCAGCCUGUGCAGUCACCAAAAUAAGACAGACUUAUCCCUAUAAAGAUGAGACUAAUUACAUAGGACAUUUUCCUGUUAAGAUAUUUCGCCACCACAUGUUCAAUUGCUAAAUUGAUCUGACGUUAAACCAGAGAGUGAUCUAUAAAUCUGUAUUGUACUAACUUUUUACUGUUAGGGUUAUCCAUUCUUGUUAAGCUUGGGGUUAGAAUUAGAAUGAGGGUGAGGCUUUACUGCUAAAAUAAAACAAUCUUGAUAACAGUGUUACACAGUUUCCACAUCAUUUGCACUAUAACAGGUGCAUUCAACCAAAUGCGGACAUCUAUCUACCUCACCUGUAUAAAUUUAUCUACCUAUUUAUGGUUUAUACAACAGGCCAAAUAGAAACCUUGAACAUAUUAAGUAUCCUUAUUUUCAUAUUCCUUUGAACUAGAUAUACAGCAAGAAAGACAUGUAUAUUAUAUCAAUAUACAAUUACAUUUCUGUGUAAUUUUCAAAAAUAGGUAGGGAAAACUUUGGUGGACACACAUAUAUUGUUGUAAAACAGCAUUUGUUUCUGACAUAUGUAGGCAGGAUAUUUAUGAAUAAAAUGAUCCACUGGA